rnacentral:rRNA from 1 species
AGGGUCAAGCUACAAAGGGCGUAUGGCGGAUGCCUUGGCGCUGGGAGCCGACGAAGGACGCGGCAAGCUGCGAAAAGCCUCGGGG